AACUCUUGAGUUUGAUGACCUCUAAAGACAUUGGCAUUAACCAAUGCAAUAUGAAAUAUAGUUGCUUAAUGCAAAUAGAAGCUAACUUUUCCACGAGGAUUUGUGUGAAUGCAUUAUAAUGGCAAAUUUAAUUUUUCUCCUAUAACAGUGAAGGCUUAUUGCAUUACCACCUUUGGUGCAAUUCGGUAUCGCAAAAUGAAGGAUGGAGGUGGCUGCAGCGUUCCCUUACGGUGAAUGUGGCUGGGACUGGUGCUGCCAACACUCAUCCAGAUCUUCCAUCACUGAUCUUGGGUCAUUCAGGUUUGGUUUGGAUUCCUAAAAAUUUUAUUUCACAAGUAAUGUAGGGCCGUGAAGUCUGUGUGUGUAGUAUAGGUUAAAUUGUUUUCAGUCACCUGAAAGAGCCAAAGGUGAAGUUAAUAAUCUUUGGGCAGUUUCCAUCAACAACAAAGCUUUCAUCUUGAAGAAAGUUAGAAACAGUGAAGACCUAACAGACAAAAAGGUCAUCACAUGCAAAGACAAAUGAUUUUUGAAAUUAACAACAUGCUGUAUUAAAAUUACUUCAGUCAAAAAGAUCACUUUAUUACUAAGAGCAACAAAACAGUUAGGUGUUUUGUGCUUUAACACUGUUGUGGCUCCUGAAUCACCGGACUGAUGGUGGAGAGAUGACUUCUCUGGUGGCUGCUAUGGGUGAGUUUGUAGGAGUUGUGCCAACUGAUAAAGGCUGAACAUCCACAAGGUGAGGUUUUUUGGUUUUUGUUUUUUUCCAAUAUACACAUCCUGCCAAGUGUUUUCUUCCAAAACACUUUGCUAGUGUGUUGGAGCCAGGACAUGGGCAAGUUGUACAUUUAAGUGUUAAACGCUUCAAUGAUUUGUGUAAGAGUGAGGCCAGGCUUAUCAUAUCCUAAUGUUGUUUUCUAACGUGAUUUUGCCAAAUAGUGCAUUUGUGUUUGAUUUCAGCUUUUUUUUUUUCCUGCCACCAUAUAAGACCAUUCCAAGUUCUUUGGCUUCAGUGAUAUGACAGCUGCAACCUCAGCUCAUGGAAUAUGCUUCCAAAACUAAUUGAGAAUUGAUUCAUUUGGUGGGAGCUUCAGGACAGUUAGGCUGGAGAUUCCUGCAGCCUGGUGGAAAUCCCAUUGGCUUUCUCCAUUCUCUUUCUCCAUUGGCUUUCUGCGCAGUACUGGCACAGAGUGCUUUGGUGCACAGCAAACAAAACGCAUGGUACAGCUGGUGAGUAUCAGCGCUGAGGGAGAUGAUCUGAAUUUAUAGCAAGUGACUCUGUGCCUGCCUGAACUAUGGAAAAACAAAACCUAAACGAAAUUUCAUAGCUCGAUGAAACUUUGAGCAAGGACUGAGUUAUAAAACCCCAAACCUGACCAGUAUACUUUUAGGUACAUCUGAUAGGGAACGUGUGUGUCACCCACAAAUCUGCAUUGCGUUGUUGUUGUUGCUUUGCAGUGCUGCCGACCGUGCUGCAGGUGGCGAUGCUGCACCAGGACUGUGCCAAGAUCCAGCUCCAGAAAAUUAAGAAUUUUACGAAAAUAGCAAAGCCUUUUGGCCUCUCGUACAGGAGAUAGGAGUGCACCCAGCAUGGUACCGGUUAAUAUUGUCUUAGAUGAUGGUUUGGGAAUACCAAUGGGAGGUAAGAGCUGUGGACUGAGAGGUAUUUCAGCACAAGCAGAGCCCUUUAACCAGCAAACUUGUUCUGGGAAAGUUUCCAGCUCUGACCAUCUCUGGCGUUGUGGGGUGUGGGAUCUCAUGCUAGGAGCAUCAAAGAAGUCUCGGGAGACGUUUCAAAAGAGGACAGGAGCCUGGGAGGGAACUUAAAAAUCCUGGCUCCAGUACAAAUAAAAUACACUUCAGUCUCAAAUUAAUGUAAAAUAUUAGGGAACUGUCUCUCAGAGAUUAUUCCCAAUGUGGAGUUAAAAUACAAACAUUCAAAACAAAAAGGAAAAGCUGGCUGGUGUCCACGAAGAACAAGUGGUCUGGUUCUGAACCCCUGAACGAUGAUAAUUCUCCAAAACUCACCUCUUUGGGCAGAUUCCACUUUGCAGGUUUUAUCUGCAUUGUCUGUUUAAAGAAAAUAAAAUAAAUAGGGCUGCUUUGAAAUAUUACAGGUAUCUGAGAAGAACAAGAACCUCUCCUUUGACCUAGAACACCAUUUCAUGGAAGGGAGGCUUUGUUUCGCAACUUUGUUUUUCCUUCCAGAAACUGGACAAAUGUAUGUUGCCAAGAGUGGUCAGCUGGAGAUAUUUGGACACUUGAAAGAUCCUCAGAAACUGCUUUUGGAGGACUUUGGGCCCAUGCUGCAAGGGGUGAGCAUCUCUGGGAGAGCUUUCCUCUUGUUGGCACAAAUCGCUGCAUCCUGAGCUGCCAUGCAUUUCUGGCUCUGCUGAGCUGCCCCUGCCCUCUGCACCCUCUACACUGCUUUAGCUGCUGCUGCUGUGCUGUAGCUGAGCUCUAAGAGCUGAUCUGGCUUGGAAUGGGCCAGGUCAGGAAGCAAAUGCAAAAAGGUAAAGCAAGAGGUGAGGAAAAAAAAAAGAGGCCUGAGCAGAAAAGACAUUAAAAAAAAUGAUGAUAAUAAUUAUAUUAUUAAUGACAAAACGUAAUUAAUCGGCUACUAAUGAAUUUUAUAAGCACCAUAAAAUUGCCAUAACAGCCUAAUUGCUUUGCUAGUCUUGCCAGCAGCCAAUAAGAACAUCAAGUGCUCUAAUCCCCUUUACUUCGGCGUGGGAGGCAGCAGUGCGGGAGGUGCCGGCUCUGCAGGCAGUGUCACGGUGAUUGCCCUGCUCCAACCCAUGUGCAGCAAACGUUUUUUCAGUGCUUCUUUGUCAGAAGGAUGAUGAGGGCUAACUAAAUGCAUCUAAACACAACCAGAGAAAAGGGGGAAAAUACACUGUGUGAGUAAACCUGAUGCUCUUCCUACUUCAUUAGAAUUUAAUGAAGAAAUACUCAGUGCCCAACAGGGGAAUCCUAAUUCAUUAUGUCCUUUGAAUUCUCAUUAAGCAUAUGCACAAUGACUACCAGAAAACAGCACACUUUCGACUCUGUUGUCUAUUACUCUGCCUAAUAGCUCUGUUGUCCAUUACACUUAAAUGCUGAUAACAGGAGAAACCUAUGCAAGUUUUAUUCCAGUAAUUAAUUUUCACUGGUUAAUUCCUGAUGACUUUCCAGUGUUGCACUGGUGCAGUGAAUCAGAAUUGUCACACGAGUGAGAUUAAAGCUGUCUUGGUGACGCUCUGAGAAGAGGGACGGACCCCACUGCACCUCUUGUGCCCAGCACAAGGGUUCUGCCUUGGAGCUGCUCUGCUAUGUGAAACUUUAUUCUGCACAUAAGUGGUGUAAACUGAAAGGCUGAAUGGUGACAGAAGCUGUCUGGAGUAUCCACGAGGUGUAAUGCUCUGUGUAGCUCUGCGCUACUUGGGUGAGUGCUUUGGAAGGAGGCAUGUGCCAGAAAACACGGCAUUGCUAAAUGUUUCUGACGUAUUAUUUAGCUUCAGGCAAUGUUUAAAAGCUGCUUAAUCGCUCACAGCUAUAUUUAAGUUGUAUUAUUGCAAUUGUCAAAGGAGACAGAUAUUCAUUCCUAUAUUUCUUCACACUUAUUAAUACUCCCAUUUUUUACCUUUAUUACUCAAAAUGGUUAAUGGCUCUGAAAUAAAGAAUCUUUAGAGGCAUCACAGUGGAGAAAUGGCUGGUUCUGUUACAGCUGCUUUACAGAGAUCUUCUCACCCCUGUUUCUUGCAGUUCAGCUUCAGUCUCCUGAUGGCAAAUCUUGAAAACCCAAGAAGGGUUUUCUGGAUGGGAGAAGAGCUGAUGACAGGGAGCGAAGGCUCAGCAGCAGGGAUGUCCUGGAGCACUGCUUGGUAACACAGCAGGAUUUCUCCUUCAUAAUCUUGUGCUUCCUAAUUCCGAUAGGAAGGUGAUGCCAGCCUCCAGAAGCUCUGACUGUAUCCUUUAUGAGAUAGCCUUAAGUCAGUUAAUAUCUUCACAGUGGUGAUAACUGUUGGAACAGCGUGCUCUUUGGUGCGUGUGAAAUGAUCUGCAUAUUCAGUCUGAGAUUUGUGCGAGUAAUUAGAAAGUUGAUCCAAAGUGGAAGCUCUUGAUCAACCUCAGCAGCUCUCCACAAGCUGUCUGCCACAAAGACAGGAAGGGGACGUCUCAUUGGUGGUAGCAGACCCAUGUGCCCAUACGGUGCCUGGUACAGUCCAUGCAUCGCCCUAAGGUGAACAUGCUUUACUGCACCAAAUGAUAUCUGCUUUCCCAAGUCAUGCAUGUUCUCUCUGAUUUUUAUUGCUUUACAUUGGAUUUGAUUUUUUCCUUACAG